GCUGUUGUAGCUCAGCUGGUAGAGCACAUCACUCGUAAUGAUGAGGUCGCGGGUUCGAAUCCCACCAACAGCU
rnacentral:tRNA from 1 species